GAUGGGGUGGCCGAGUGGUUAAGGCGCUGUCGUCAGGUGGCAGUGGGAAACCGCGCGCGUUCGAAUCGCGUCCUCAUCA
rnacentral:tRNA from 1 species